ACAUAAGUCCCUCGUGUCGCCCUCCGAGCCUGCACGCAGCGGAGCCGCCGCCUGCCUUGCCCUCGGCCGCUGCCUCCUUGCUCGACCGCCGCAUAGCCCCAUGCAAAGCGUCGCCCGCGCGGCCGCCGCGGCGAGUUCCCCCCACACCGUGGCCGCCGGAUUCCUCCUCCGCCGCCCAACAGAGAAGGGAGAAGGGGGAACGCAGGGGGAAAACGCGCCAAGGUUCAUGUGCGCACUUCUGCUGGAUUUGUCGAUUCCAUUUCGACCAGAUCGAGGCGGCGACGGCCGACGAGGGCAAUCUCGACCUCAGCAGCAGCGUGUCAACAUGCUUGCCUCCAAGAUCUGCCUCUGAUGCGUACAACUCUGCCACCACCGUUCAUGAUAUUCUCCUCGGGCUGGAAGGACAAGGGACUAAUGCGAUGCAAAUAUAUCACAUCAUGUACUUAUGGCGUUUAGCUGAUUGUAGCCUUUUUGUUAUGUAUAAAUGCUGAUUGUAGCCUUUUUGUUAUGUAUAAAUGUUGUGUACAUGUAAGCUAUUGUGUACUGUGUACUGCUAUUAUUAUUAAUCUAUUUCUCUAUUUCUAUUAAA